UCUUAGUGGCGGACGGGUGAGUAACGCGUGGGUAACCUGCCUUAUACAGGGGGAUAACACUUAGAAAUAGGUGCUAAUACCGCAUAAGCGCACGGGGCUGCAUGGCCCAGUGUGAAAAACUCCGGUGGUAUAAGAUGGACCCGCGUCUGAUUAGCUUGUUGGCGGGGUAACGGCCCACCAAGGCAACGAUCAGUAGCCGGCCUGAGAGGGUGGACGGCCACAUUGGGACUGAGACACGGCCCAAACUCCUACGGAAGGCAGCAG
rnacentral:rRNA from 1 species